rnacentral:lncRNA from 1 species
AUUUAAGGGAAUUUAAGUGAAAAAUGCUGUGUUUUUAACUUUCAGAAACAACUGCAGAAAGAUGUCAUGCCGAGGAAGCAUAUGUGUUACCAAGCUUUCUUCUGUUUCAAAAUCUUUAUGAGAACAUUUAGGAGGAAAAGAAUAAAACACACAGAUUCAUCCACAAUUCAUCCACCUCGGGAUCCUUUUGCAGGUUGGGCGCAAUCAACAAGCAAAAAAACGCUGGCAGACUCGUUUGACCCGUUCCUUCUCCACAGGUAUCAGAACUGAUAUUAUGAUGGUAACAGUUCUCAAAACCUUUUUUGCUCAGACUGUGUUUUUUUUGUUUUGUUAUUUUGUUUGCUUUUUUUUUUUUUUUUAAGCACAACAAGAAUUUUCCAGAAAUCACAAAGAUUAAACAACAU